GCUUGCGUGUCGUCGCCUUGUCGCCUUCGAACGAACAAGUGCUCCUCACGCGUCAUGACCUCAGCGUGUUCCUCGUGAUACCUUUUCCGUUAAAUAAACGAUUUAAUGAAUGAACGUUAGUGACUGGAAGAAAAAAGUGCUCUUUGUGUAACCUUUUGGAAAUGGAACAAGUUCAGAUAAAGAAAAUGAUCGAAAUUUGUGCGAGUUUGGUGGUGGUUAAUCAAAAGAAAGGUUAUGUUCCUCUUUGGAAGACCACCUCGAAGUUGAAGUCAUCAAUGAUUUGGAACUCUGUUUGCAAGAAUGUGCCAACGUUCAAGAACGCAGCCAGCAGCCCCUUCUCAGCCAUUAAUCACAAUUUGUUGUCGCUACUGUGCGCUCGCCGGAGCAGACUGCUCGUCUGGUGCUGCAGAUCGUGCAGCAUUUCGCCUGAUGUUCCGAGAGUGUGCGCGGGUGGAGGCGAGGACGAGUCCUGUUUGGGUCAUCGUCACAGAAAGAAAAGGUGUCGCUGGCUAGCCGGUGCCUUCUCUAGAACCCAACGUUUGAUUUAAACAACCACGUGGCUGCCGCCGCCCGCCGCCUCCUGAACCCCGGGUAGCCGUCGUGCCCGGGACCGCGCCCUCCCGUUUCUAAGGGUGUGCUGGAGCUUCUUCCUGCUGCCUACAGAAGAUCCUUCCUCUCCGAGGAUUGGGCCGUUACUGAGCCUUCAGGUGUGCUGUCCCUCCAUGCCCGCCAUGCAAAUGCUCAUUGGCGAUGCAAAGAGUUGCAGCGGCAGCGGAAGGGGAAGGUGAAAAACCUGCCCCUCCUAGGUGCAUCGCAAAAAAAAUAGUCAGCGGCGAGACCAACGUCAUUUCGUGGAUAUAUCGAAGCGGGAGCCUGGCCCACUUUCUGCCACAGAGGCGCGCCAGCUGAGACCGUAGGCUGAAGGCUGCGCAGUUCCGUCGCAGUGACAGCCUUCUACUCCGCAACUAUCAGGUUGGUAGCAGCAACGCAGCCGCUGGGGUGUAUACACGGACUUGACUUCUUGUGGGUGAGUGGUGAUGGCGUCGAUGAUGUGUCGGCGCCGCAGAUCGAAGGUCUCUGGGACGGCGCGGGGAGGAGCGGGUUCGUUCGCUUUUCAUCACUUUUGGGGUUGCAGCAUGAGUGCACCUGCAUCUCGCGGCCCUCGCAGUGCAAUCAGCACGGGAGGGGAAGGGGGGGGGGAAUUACAAGGAAUCUGCACAAAUGUGAAGGAGUAUGAGGCCUAGGCAGAGGAGAAGCACAGAGGAGAAACAAAAAGAAACGCCACAGCGGGGAGAGAGAGAGGGAACAUUCUUUGGGGAGGAACUGAUGAUUAUUUCCAUUCGUGCCGUUUCCAUUCCCUCUCUCCGCCCUUCUCUCUCGCCUCCACCCCUCCUUGUGAGACACGAGCGCCAACUCCCUCGCCUUGGGGGCGACGUAGCGUGGCGGCGCGCGCUGCGCGGAGUGAGUGCGCCGAGGACCUCAUCGCACGGAGGAGGAGGGACUGAUGAUGGUGUUUGAUGUUUCAAGCGAGAAUUCAUCCUCCAGCUCUCUCUCUCUCUCUUUCGAAAUCCUUGGCACGUUGGCUUUCCUUCUAAUUAUCGACACCAAGAAAGUGAACGCAGGCGCACGUGUGGGUGUGUUCUCUUGGGGGAACAUUUCAUUCUUAUAUCAGUGUUAUUGCGCCUACCAGUCGUGUCUAUGUAACUUCAAUUAUUCUGGCACAGACUUCAUGAAGGGUUGAGGGCUUCCUACUUUCGUUGAGCUGAGAGCGAGGCCCCCACCAGGAAUGCGGGGCUGUCUUUGUUGGACGAGCUCAAGGAAGCUCUGAAUGAGAAGGACCUAAGUGUGUGCAUUCCGCAGUGUGGUCGGUCAAGACGAAAGGGUUGAUAUUCUUUUGAAGUGAGCUACGCAGGGAGUCCCCUUGAUCCCCCCCCCCUUCCAUCUUGUGCUGCGGCGCCGCCUUCUAGAAAGAGGACAGAAAAGAAAAGAAGCGCGCAUAUAAAGCAUUGCGAUUCCUCCGCCCUCAUUGCAAUUCUCUCUCCUGAUGAGUUUGAGUCUCCCCGUCUCUCUUCCUCCUAUCUUUCAGUUUCCCUCCGCCCCUCCCUAUAUACACCCCCACCUUUCUCCCAUCCACUCCGUUGUUCUUCGAUCUCAAUUCUAUUUGCGCUCCGUCAACGGUCGCGACCAUCAGGAUACAUAAAUGCGGCUUCUUUUACGCACAACAAUAAUAUUUUCCCGUAAAACGUCAGUACAUCUUAUCGUUUUUUGUCGCAUCGUCAUCAUCAUCAUCAUCAUGACGACGAUGCUUUUUGAGGAGAUGCGGGCCUUCGUGAGUGGUUCAGCAGUCGCUCUGCCGUGGCGCACGGCGCAGCGCGUACUGCGAGACGAAAGAACAGAACAGGGCGGCUGAAUGCAAAAGCAAACUUGGUCGGGGGGCACAUGUGUGCGGCCCGGAGCUGCACUCUGAGAGCGGGUGCGCUGAGCACGUCUAUUCCUGGAGCUGCUGAUGAUCGUCGAGUUGAGGGACGAUGCAGGUCGACGUCAGAGUUGGGACAAUUGGCCACAUAGGCUGGAAUCACUUCCAAACUUGUCGCGCUUCUUGUCCUUGUCCUUACAUAAAUCAUUAAAAAAAAACAGAACCCAUAAUUUCAUGAUCCCCCCUAUCCAUCCAUCCAUCCAUCCAUCCAUCCAUCC